UUAAUCCUGUGGUGUGCGUGGAUCUAUUGUUUUUAACCCACGGAGUCAAUAUGGGAGUUCGGGUUUGUUAUUUGGAUGCCAUACCCCCAGGGGAAGGCAGAAUCUAACAAUAGAACACCCACCUGCCAAGAGGCGGGUAUAAAAAUAGUAGAAUGACGGCAUUAUGGGAAUAGU
rnacentral:other from 1 species